AGAAAAAUGAGAAGUCUGGAAUCUGGGGGUGAUCUCUCUAAACCUCCUUGGGCUGGUGAUGCCUAAAUGAUUACUUGAGUAGGCAGUUUGAUUGGAAGCUUCAUCUGUGCAGCAGAAUCCUGGAUGGGACAGAACAAAGAGAAUACUUCCUUGCUGGUGAGGAUGAUAAGAAGGAGAGGACAAUGCUGAAUCCAGUUGUGGGAAUCACGAGGUAAGGCAAGUGUUGCUGACUGAGGUCCGCCAGGCCUCUCCUUCCCAGGCCCCACAGCGAGAGAGCCGGGGUCAGGACCCCUGGAAAUGAACUUCAUGCAAUGCGCAAUUUGACACAGCUGUGCCAGCUGGAAUACAGGAGCUGAGUAGAAUGCAAAUGGAACCUGUGCCUACUAUCUGAAUAUCUCUGAUUAGACUACCUGCACAAAUCUGCCUGUUGACUUUAACAGAUUGAAUUCAAGUCUGCAACAGUCUUAGAGGAAAAAGAAGAUUGCCUUGCCUCCCCAGUUAUCAUCAGUACUUGGUCUGAAUGCAGACAGAUUUCCCAAAUUCCAGAUAACAAUGAUAGGCAAGAGUUUCUGAGACCCUGGAGGCAGAGUGUAAUCAUCACACAGGUAAAUUAUCCCUGCCGUGAGAAAAUUGGAGCAGUAAAUGAAACAUUAGUCCACUUCACUAGGAGGUCAUGUAUGUUACAGUCCCACAACAACCUGCUUCUCUGAUUACAGUUAGCAUGAGACUGCCAUUCAUGCCUUCACUUUUUUGUGUUUUUUAUAUUCUGCUGAGCUUUGUUUUACUCCAGCUUCUUUGCACUCUACCAAUUAAGCCCAAAAUUGGCAGGGAAGACAAAAUACACAUGAAAGGGAGGGUGAAAGCAGACAAAGGCAAUGGAGAAUAAAGUUGAAAAAUGCUCCUUUCUUCCUUCCUCUCCUGGCAGCUGUGCUGAGCUAAGGAGAUACUGAGCCUGUGUGACAGGGAACCGUUAACUCACCUGGUUUCCAGCCCUGGGCAGUCCUCGGAAACUUGGAGGGGCAACAUUUGUUAUUUGUGCCUUGCCCUGCUAUCCCACUAGGCUGCUCAAACUCCAGAGUGUACCUGGCUUCUUCCACAUGCGAAGAUACAGGAUGACAUUUAUCAAGGUUUGCUAGAUGCAGGACUUACGUUACUGUGCUAAGUAUUUCAAAUGAGUUAAUAACUAUCAUCUCCAUUUACAGAUAAGAACCCUGAACCAGGAGAGAGUGUGAUAAUUCACGAAGGUGAUGCAAAUUGGUGGGAAGAGGAUGCCAACAAAGGCCCGAAUGCAUUCUUACUUUAUUUAUUCUUUAUUCUUUGUAGGAAGCCUGGAAAAUACUUGAAAGAUUGAGGAUGAAAAUAUGAGCAUCCAACCUUCCAUCCUCACACCAGAACUGCUGUAUUUUAUUCCAAUUCCAUCCAUUGUUUGAAGCAAAUAUAACUUAAAAUAUAUAUGAUGAAAAUCA